rnacentral:rRNA from 1 species
GACGAACGCUGGCGGCGUGCUUAACACAUGCAAGUCGAACGAAGAGCGAUGGAAGCUUGCUUCUAUCAAUCUUAGUGGCGAACGGGUGAGUAACGCGUAAUCAACCUGCCCUUCAGAGGGGGACAACAGUUGGAAACGACUGCUAAUACCGCAUACGAUCUAAUCUCGGCAUCGAGGAUAGAUGAAAGGUGGCCUCUACAUGUAAGCUAUCACUGAAGGAGGGGAUUGCGUCUGAUUAGCUAGUUGGAGGGGUAACGGCCCACCAAGGCGAUGAUCAGUAGCCGGUCUGAGAGGAUGAGCGGCCACAUUGGGACUGAGACACGGCCCAGACUCCUACGGGAGGCAGCAGUGGGGAAUCUUCCGCAAUGGACGAAAGUCUGACGGAGCAACGCCGCGGGAGUGAUGACGGCCGUCGGGUUGUAAAGCUCUGUUAAUCGGGACGAAAGGCCUUCUUGCGAAUAGGGAGAAGGAUUGACGGUACCGGAAUAGAAAGCCACGGCUAACUACGUG